AGCAGCCGCGGUAAUUCCAGCUCCAAUAGCGUAUAUUAAAGUUGUUGCAGUUAAAAAGCUCGUAGUUGAAUUUCGGGAUCAAUAUGUUGGUCGUGCCUCGGUACGUACUAGCAUAUUGGUUUCUCCUUUCUGAAGAACCAUGAUGUCAUUUAUUUGGUGUCGUGGGGAAUCAGGACUGUUACUUUGAAAAAAUUAGAGUGUUUAAAGCAGGCUCACGCUUGAAUACAUUAGCAUGGAAUAAUGAAAUAGGACGUUUGAUUCUAUUUUGUUGGUUUCUAGGAUCGACGUAAUGAUUAAUAGGGAUAGUUGGGGGCAUUAGUAUUCAAUUGUACAGAGGUGAA
rnacentral:rRNA from 1 species